rnacentral:rRNA from 1 species
AUUGAACGCUGGCGGCAGGCUUAACACAUGCAAGUCGAGCGGGGGAAGGCAGCUUGCUACCGGACCUAGCGGCGGACGGGUGAGUAAUGCUUAGGAAUCUGCCUAUUAGUGGGGGACAACAUCUCGAAAGGGAUGCUAAUACCGCAUACGUCCUACGGGAGAAAGCAGGGGAUCUUCGGACCUUGCGCUAAUAGAUGAGCCUAAGUCGGAUUAGCUAGUUGGUGGGGUAAAGGCCUACCAAGGCGACGAUCUGUAGCGGGUCUGAGAGGAUGAUCCGCCACACUGGGACUGAGACACGGCCAGACUCCCACGGGAGGCAGCAGUGGGGAAUAUUGGACAAUGGGGGGAACCCUGAUCCAGCCAUGCCGCGUGUGUGAAGAAGGCCUUAUGGUUGUAAAGCACUUUAAGCGAGGAGGAGGCUACUCUAGUUAAUACCUAGGGAUAGUGGACGUUACUCGCAGAAUAAGCACCGGCUAACUCUGUGCCAGCCGCCGCAGUAA